rnacentral:lncRNA from 1 species
AUUUAAUGAUACAUAAAUCUCAAUAAAGCUGUUAUUUUCAAAAACCAACAAUAUGUAGUAAACAGAACAUUAACUCUGGUUCUGAACAUAAACUGUGAGCUUACACAAAAAGGUGUUUUGUUUUUUUUAAAUCAGUAAUCCUUACUGAAAUCUAACAUACCUUAACUAGGUAAAGCAAUUAAAGUUUGGUGUCUGAAGAUUUUUAACACUUACGUUAAAAGGAUAUUAAUUUUAUUUCUUCAUUUCUACUUAGAUCAAAUAAGUUCACUUUAAAUUCCUUCAUAUCCAAAACAAAUGCUAACACAUACUAAAUAGUGAAUUGGAAAAGUGCUACAACUUGAAUAAACAGGUAUUACUGAAUUUCAGGCCCAUAUACUUUACCAACAGUAACAGCGCAUGACAACGUUUCUAGUAAGCAUUUCUAAAAUGUAAUUAGAAAUUAAGUGUUUUUAAUAAAACAUUUAUGCAGGUUGUUUCUUUUGUUUUACUUUACUAGUUAAAACAAAGGAGUCAUCAAAAACCUUUCAAAUAAUAUUCACAAAAUAAAAACAGUCAUACGAUAUACAGUACCACCAUACAAGUCUGUACGUGCACAUAUACACACAGGUUGAGUAUCACUUUUCUAAAUGCUUAGGACCAGAAGUGAUUCAGAUUUUGGAGCAGUUGGAAUUCUCACCAUGAGGAUACUCAACUGAUUACACAUAAAAACACACGUCUCAUAACAUACAUUCCUUUAUUAAUCAUACUAAAAACAUUUAGACAAGGUUUUGCUUUGGAAUAGCCUAGAAAUGCCAGGACGAAAACUGACACUGAAGUGAUUCAAAAGCCCUGUUGUCACAACAGAUAAUGUACUAUACGAACCGAUUAGUCAGCCAUCUGGAAGUGACAGUCUACAUGAAGCAUCCAAACUCCAAGGAGAAUAUUAAGUUUUCUGUAAAUGCUCAAUUUUAAGUAUUCACAAUUAUAAAGAGCUUUUCCUCAAUCCACCUUCUUCUGAACACUUACUAUACUCCAGGCUGGAACAGAGCUGCAAGCUAGGCCUGCCCUCAAGAAAUCCCAACUCAACUGCUUAUUUUGUGCCUCCAAGAGCUUGUUCACUCAGAGCGUCUGACCUCCCAAGGUUAAGGGUAAGCCCAGCAGGGGAAUAUGAGUAACUAUACAGGUAACUGCCAGACCAGAACAAAUACAUUUGGAAAUAAAAGCUGCUGUACAUUUAGGCCAAAUCCAACUCUACUUACUAAUAUAAAAUUGCUCCUGAAGUUCCGAGACACACUGCUAAAAAACAGUAAAAUGAGCCAGAGUAUAUAACUCUACCUUCUCUGACACCCACCUUAUAUAAUCAUCUUAUUUAAAGGCACAUCUAUUACAUUUCAGUUAAAGUAUCCUCUUCCAUUUAGGGAUAUUUCUCUUUACCUUCAAACUUCUCUGAUUGGACACAGUACUGAACAGCUGCCGAAUGAAUGAAUGAAAUAAGCAGAUGUUCUCAUUGCCAAGGAGGUAUACACUGGAUGUUUAUCUCAAAACAAUGGGCUGACAGGCCAGAAUUCUUCUGGGAACAUCACUGAAUUUCAGAGGUAAAAAUAGUAACCAUUGGAGACUGUCCGAUGCUGUGUAGUCAACGGAUUACUAAAUUUACAGUAAAGAUGGGGAACUUUCGAAAAUGAAAAGAGAACUGUACUUUGAAAUGGUCUUGGUUCUGCCACUUCUGGAUGGGGAACCCAAAUGCAAGACAAAGAGACAGCCCAGGGAGCUGAAAGAGUCAAAAGGUCGCGGCCCAGUAACUUCCAGUCUAGAAAGGCGCGCCGGCCCCCGCAGCCCGGCGAGCGGGACACGCACCCCGCACCCGGGUCCGGUCCCCGCAGCCCAGGCCGGAGCACCGCAUCCUCCUCGCGUUGUAGACGCCCGCGUCCACACAAAGGAGCUUCCGCGAGCUAGACGAGGACCCCGCGGGCGCCGGGCGGGCGUGGGGACCCGACGACGCGAGCGCGGUCCCGACCUUCGCCCAAGUGUUCCCAACUUGCCACCCGCCAGCUCCAUUUUCUACUCGCGACGUGGAUGCGGGACCUGAAUGGGGCGGGAGCGGCGCUGGGGCG